GUAGCUUAGCCCGGUAGAGCGCCCGUCCGCGUGCGCGGGGCGACGCUGUUAGCGGUCUUCGGGCGGCAGGAACCGGGAGGUCCCGGGUUCAAAUCCCGGC
rnacentral:tRNA from 1 species